GAUGUAGAACGCAGCGAAAUGCGAUAAGUAGUGUGAAUUGCAGAAUUCAGUGAAUCAUCGAAUCUUUGAACGCACAUUGCGCCCCUUGGUAUCCCGAGGGGCAUGCCUGUUCGAGCGUCAUUUCACCACUCAAGCCUGGCUUGGUGUUGGGCGACGUCCUCUUUGGGGACGCGCCUCGAAACGCUCGGCGGCGUGGCACCGGCUUUAAGCGUAGCAGAAUCUUUCGCUUUGGAAGUCGGGGCCCCGUCUGCCGGAAGACCUGCUCGCAAGGUUGACCUCGGAUCAGGCAGGGAUACCCGCUGAACUUAAGCAUAUCAAUAAGCGGAGGA
rnacentral:misc_RNA from 1 species